rnacentral:rRNA from 1 species
GAUGAACGCUGGCGGCGUGCCUAAUACAUGCAAGUCGAGCGAACAGACGAGGAGCUUGCUCCUCUGACGUUAGCGGCGGACGGGUGAGUAACACGUGGAUAACCUACCUAUAAGACUGGGAUAACUUCGGGAAACCGGAGCUAAUACCGGAUAAUAUAUUGAACCGCAUGGUUCAAUAGUGAAAGACGGUUUUGCUGUCACUUAUAGAUGGAUCCGCGCCGCAUUAGCUAGUUGGUAAGGUAACGGCUUACCAAGGCAACGAUGCGUAGCCGACCUGAGAGGGUGAUCGGCCACACAGGGACUGAGAGACGGUCCAGACUCCGACGGGAGGCAGCGGUAGGGAAUCUUCCGCAAUGGGCGAAAGCCUGACGGAGCAACGCCGCGUGAGUGAUGAAGGUCUUCGGAUCGUAAAACUCUGUUAUUAGGGAAGAACAAAUGUGUAAGUAACUAUGCACGUCUUGACGGUACCUAAUCAGAAAGCCACGGCUAACUACGUG